ACCAAAUAAAUGCAGCUCAACAGUCAUUGGGGGGUUAGAACAACCCAUUUGGUUUAAUGAGGCCUUAUUGAGCCCUGAUAGGCUUGCUGGGGAUAAAACCUGGAGCUUGGGAGAGGAGAGCGACAUUUUGGAGCAAGAUGGCAAGAGGGACGGCGGCCACAUACCUGCAUGGAGUCCUUCUCCUGGCUCUGCUGAAACCUUCACUGCAAGGAGGUGUAUACAUACCAGCUGGUGGUGCUGCAGGAGGAGCUGGAACUGGUAUCGGAGCUGGUGCAGGACCUGGAACUGGAUUUGGACCAGGUGGGACUGGAACAGGUUUUGGCCCUGGAGGAGCUGGGACUGGAUUUCAGCCUGGUGGAGGAGUUGGACCAGGAGGUGCUGGCGGAGGUUUAGGAGGAUUUGGACCAGGAGCUGGUGGAGGUGGCUACGGUGGUCAAGGACCAGGAGGUGUCGGACCAGGAGGUGUCAGACCAGGAGGAGUCGGACCUGGAGGAGUCGUACCAGGAGGUGUCGGACCAGGAGGUGUCGGACCAGGAGGUGUUGGACCAGGUGGUGUCGGACCUGGAGGAGUCGUACCUGGAGGUGUCGGACCAGGAGGAGUUGGACCUGGAGGGUUCAGGCCCAGCACCUUUGGUCCAGGCAGUGGUGGACUUGGAGUUGUACCUGGAGGAGUUGGGGCUGGUGUAAAGCCGCCAAAAACAGGGGGUGGCUACGGCACUCGUGGGGCAGGACUGGGAGCUGGAGGUGUAGGAGGAGGACUGGGACCGGGCGGAGUAGGGUCAGGUGGUUUUGGACCAGGUGGUGUUGGACCUGGAGGCUAUGGAACCAGACCUGGAGGAGUUGGUCCCAGUGGUUUUGGACCAGGACACACUGGUCCUGGUGGUCAAGGGACAGGAUAUGGAGGCCUUGGAGCAGGGGGAGUGGGUGGAGGGACCCUUGGAGCAGGAGGCACUGGGACUGGUGGAGGUCUGGGAGCUGGAACAGGCGUCACCCCUGGGGGUGGAUAUGGAGGUGGUUAUGGACCAGGUGGUGUGAUUCAAUACCCAGGAACUGGUCCCAAACCUCCCAAAACAGGCGGUGUUGAAACAUCACUUGGAGGAACAGGUUAUGGGCCAGGUGGAGCAGGGUUUGGGCCUGGUGGAGCAGGGUUUGGGCCUGGUGGAGCAGGAUUUGGUCCAGGUGGUGCAGGAGUUGGGCCUGGUGGAGCAGGAUUUGGGCCUGGUGGAGCAGGAUUUGGGCCUGGUGGUGCAGGAGUUGGGCCAGGUGGAGCAGGAUUUGGGCCUGGUGGUGCAGGAGUUGGGCCAGGUGGAGCAGGAUUUGGGCCUGGUGGUGCAGGAGUUGGGCCAGGUGGAGCAGGAUUUGGGCCUGGUGGUGCAGGAGUUGGGCCAGGUGGAGCAGGAUUUGGGCCUGGUGGUGCAGGAGUUGGGCCAGGUGGAGCAGGAUUUGGGCCAGGUGGAGCAGGAGUGGGGCCUGGAGGUGCAGGAUUUGGGCCUGGUGGUGCAGGAUUUGGGCCUGGUGGUGCAGGAGUUGGGCCUGGUGGUGCAGGAGUUGGGCCAGGUGGAGUGAGUCCAGGUGGAGCUGCUGUGCCUGGUGGAGCUCCGCUGCUCCCACAGACUGGUACUACAGGGGGAGGACCAGGAGGAAAGAGUGGUGGAAAAGCAUCAAAACAAGUUCCAGGUAUUGGAGUGCCUGGACUCUAUCAAGGUGGAUUUGUACCAGGACAAGGUUUUGGAGGCCGUGGUGUUCUCCCUGGAGUGGCCACAGGAUCUGGACUUGGUCCUCAGACUGGGACCGGCGUACUCGGUCAGGGGGGUGUUGGAACAGGAGGAGCAGGCAAUGGCCGUGGACAGCAGCUGCCUGGGGUUUUUCGUGGAUACCCUCUCAUAUCACCAAAAUCAGGUGCAGGAAAAUCAAAGAAUCCAGCCAAAAUUGCAGCUAAAUAUGGUGGAGCUGGCAGACUUGGUCAGGGAGGAACUUUGGGUGGUGGGGCUGGAAGAGAAGGUGUAGGGGGUACCCCUGGAUUUGGAGGCGGAGUUGGAACAGGCGGUGGACCAGGAGCUGUACCUGGAUUUGGAGGCGGAGUUGGAACAGGCGGCGGGCCGGGAUUAGUACCUGGAUUUGGAGGCGGAGUUGGAACAGGCGGCGGGCCGGGAUCAGUACCUGGAUUUGGAGGCGGAGCAGGAACAGGAGGCGGGCCUGGUUUAGGUUAUGGACCUGGCUCAGCCAAAGCACGCAAAUAUGGCAGUGGAGGCACUGGAGUAGCUGGAGGCCUUGGAGCUGGUGUUGGUCUUGGCACAGCAGGAGGACCUGGUGGUUUUGGUCCAGGUGGUGCUGGCACUGGCGCAGCUGGAGGCCUGGGAGGCGGAAGACAGGGAGGAGGAGUUGGCCCUGGCACGGGUGUGGGACCUGGCUCUGGGGUUGGUUUUGGUCCAGGUGGUGCGGGCACUGGGCCAGGCGGUCUUGGCUACGGUCCUGGUGGUGCUGGCACUGGGCCAGGCGGUCUUGGCUAUGGUCCUGGUGGUGCUGGCCUUGGAACAGGAGGCACAGGAACAGGGCCCGGAGGAUAUGAUGCCAGUGCCAAAGCCCGUAAAUAUGGCAUGUUAAGUGGAGCACUUGGAGGUCCAGGAAUAGGUACUGGAGGAGUCAGGCCUGGUGGUGCUGGAACUGGCUAUGGACCAGGUGGAGUUGGACCAAGUGGAGUUGGACCAGGCGGAGUAGGACCAGGUGGAGUUGGACCCGGUGGUGCUGGAACUGGAUUUGGACCAGGUGGAGUUGGACCUGGUGGUGCUGGAACUGGCUAUGGACCAGGUGGAGUUGGACCCGGUGGUGCUGGCACUGGCUAUGGACCAGGUGGAGUUGGACCCGGUGGUGCUGGAACUGGCUAUGGACCAGGUGGAGUUGGACCCGGUGGUGCUGGAACUGGCUAUGGACCAGGUGGAGUUGGACCCGGUGGUGCUGGAACUGGCUAUGGACCAGGUGGAGUUGGACCUGGUGGUACUGGCACUGGCUAUGGACCUGGAGGUUAUGCUGGUGCCAAAGCCCGUAAAUAUGGUCUUCCUGGAGGUGCUGGAGGUGCCCUGGGUGCAGGAGGACUUGGGGGUGGGGUUGGGCCUGGUACUGGGCUCGGAGUAGGAGGAGGGUUUCCUGGACGAGGUGUUGGAGUAACAACUGGUGGUGGACCUGGAGCAGGAGUAGGGGUGGCUGGGACACCUGGUUCUGGUAUUGGAACAGGAGGUGGACCAGGUGGCUUUGGACCAGGCGGUGCUGGAGGGCUACCUGGUGGUGGCGGAGCCCCUGGAUCUGGUCUAGAUGGAAGAUUUGGUGGCCCAGCAGCAGGUGGUUAUGGUCCAGGGACUGGAGGAGCACUAGGGACUGGAAGAGGAUAUGGACCUGGUGGAUAUGGGCCUGUGGCUGGGACUGGUUAUGGACCAGGUGGAGGUUAUGGUUUAGGACCAGGUGCUGGAUAUGGAACAGGUUAUGGAGCUGGAUCAAAACUUGCUAAAUAUGGUCCCGGUGGAGCAGGUGCUGGUGGGGUACUUGGAGGUGGACUAGGACGAGGAGGUGGCUAUGGAACAGGAGGCUAUGGAACUGGCAGUGGAGGCUAUGGUACAGCUGGAUCUAAAGCUGCUAAAUACGGGCAACCUGGUGGAGUUGUUCCCGGGACAGGAGCAGGGACUGGUGUUGGAGUGAAUGGCACCAGCACUUUAACUGGUGCACGGGCAACAGCUAGACCAAGUGGUGAUGGUGGUGCUGGCAGUGUGAUAGAGGGGUCUGGGAGUCCUGGAGGAGAAGGAGUUACUGGUGUAGCUGGCAGACCAGUAGGUGCAGGAGGUGAUAGAGAUGUCCUGGGUGGAACAGGGAUCCCCAUCAUUGGAGCAAAACCAGGACUCAAUGGGACCACAGUCCCAGGUUCCACAGGAGCUUCCCCUGUUGGUGGUGGGGCUGUACAACCAAGUGCUGGGACCGGAGUUGGUGGUACAAGAGUUCCCCCUGGAGGCUCUGGUGGUGAUGUCUCAAAUGGAGCAUUGCCUGGCGCCAAACCUCUCAAACCCCCAGGUGUCCCUCGAGGUGACACACCAGGUGAAGGAGAUGGAGAAGAUGGCCCCGAUGGAGAGAGAGGUGGUACAGGAGGCACAGGUGGAGGGCCAGGAGGAGUAGGAGGGGGACCUACCAGAGCAGGACCAGCAGGAGGUGUUUCUGGUGGUGCAACAGCAGUAGGAAGAGGAGACGGUCCUGCUACUGGAACUGGACUUGGAUCAGGAGGUGCAGCUGGUGGAGUAGGAGGAACACCAAAACCACCCAAAGAUGGGACUGUCGCAGGAGGUGUAAGCGCAGGACCUGGUGGAGCUGGUGGACUUGCAGGAGGAGUUGGGUCAGCUGGACGAGGUCCUGGAGGAGCAGGCCUGGUACCUGGGGCUGGUGGAGUAGGAACAGGAUUCGCAAAACCUGGAAAAAGCUAUGGUGCUUUUGGAGCUGGAGUUUCACCAGGCGGAGGCAUACGUUACCCAACAGGAGCUGGAGUAGGACAAGGAACAGGAAAACCAGGCAAAGCAUAUGGAACUCUCGGAGUAGGAGGACAGGGUGGGUUUGGACCUGGCGGAUAUGGAGCUGGUCCUGGUGGCUUUGGUACUGGUCCGGGAGGUUACGGAGUGGGACCCGGAGGUUACGGGGCUGGCCCAGGUGGUUAUGGAGCUGGACCUGGAGGCUAUGGAGGCACAACUGGAAGCAGAGGCAUCGGUGGUGGUCCUGGGGGUGUUGGGACUCUUGGAGUUGGAACUGGUCCAGGAGGUGUAGGUCCUGGCGGAGUUGGUGGCGGACUGGGUGGAUACGGUGGUGGUGUGGGGCCUGAUGGUUCUAGAUAUGGUACAGGUCCAGGACGGGGCACUGGGACUGGUGCUGGCAAACCACCAAAAAGUUAUGGAGCAGGAGCUGGUGGUACUGGUGUUGGACCUGGUGGCUAUGGCACUGGACCAGGUGGAGCUGGUUCUGGUCCAGGAGGUUUUGGACCAGGUGGCUUUGUGCCAGGCGGCCCUGGUGCUGGUACUUAUGGACCAGGUGGCACUGGUUCAGGUGGAUAUGGGGCCGGCACUGGAACUAGACCUGGUGGCUUUGGACCAGGUGGUGCCGGAACAGGAGGCUUCGGACCAGGUGGGGCUGGAACAGGAGGCUUCGGACCAGGUGGGGCUGGAACAGGAGGCUUCGGACCAGGUGGGGCUGGAACAGGAGGCUUUGGACCAGGUGGUGCCGGGGCUCAAGGACUGGGGACAAGAAAACCACCCAAAUCAGGUUAUGGAUCAUCCUCACUGGGUGGAGCUGGCUUUGGACCAGGUGCAGGAGUUGGACCUGGUGGAACAGGUACCGGACCUGGCAGAUAUGGGCCGGGUGGCUUCGGACCAGGUGGUACUGGCGUUGGAACGGGAGGCUUUGGACCAGGUGGUACUGGCGUAGGAACAGGAGGCUUUGGACCAGGGGGUGCUGGCACAGGAACAGGUGGCUUUGGACCAGGUGGUGCUGGAGUAGGAGGGUUUGGACCUGGUGGUGCUGGAACAGGAACAGGAUUUGGACCAGGAAGUCAAGGAUCAGGAAAAAGAAAACCGUCUAAAUCCGGUUAUGGAACUGGUUAUGGUUCAGGAAGCUUAGGAGGAGUUGCAGGAACUGGCACUGGUGGAGCUGGAGCUAGAACUGGCGGCUUUGGUCCAGGAGGAGCUGGAACAGGUGGCUUCGGUCCAGGAGGAGCUGGAACGGGUGGCUUCGGUCCAGGAACUGGCGGUUUCGGUCCAGGAGGAGCUGGGACUGGCGGUUUCGGUCCAGGAGGAGCUGGGCGUGGUGGCUUCGGUCCAGGAGGAGCUGGAACGGGUGGCUUCGGUCCAGGAGGAGCUGGAACGGGUGGCUUCGGUCCAGAAACUGGCGGUUUCGGUCCAGGAGGAGCUGGGACUGGCGGUUUCGGUCCAGGAGGAGCUGGGACUGGUGGCUUCGGUCCAGGAGGAGCUGGGACUGGCGGUUUCGGUCCAGGAGGAGCUGGGACUGGCGGUUUCGGUCCAGGAGGUGCUGGAACUGGCAGUUUCGGUCCAGGAGGUGCUGGUGGAUAUGGACCUGGUGGCCAAACAAGAAAGCCUCCUAAAUCAGGUUAUGGCUCAUCGUUAGGUGGCACUGGCUAUGGACCAGGUGGUGUAGCAGGAGGCCUUCCUAGUACUGGAACAGUAGGAAUCAGUGGAGGCGGUCCAGGUGGUGUAGGAGGGCAGGCAGGAGGCCCUGGAGGACCAGGCCAGGGAGUAGGAGGAGGACCAGGUGGCUUACCAGGGGGUGCUGGCCCUGGUUUUGGAGGGGUGGCUGGUGGAGGCUAUCCAGGAUUUGCAGGGGCUGGGCAAAAAUCCAAGGCACAGAAGGCAGCCAAAUAUGCAGCCCUGCAGGCCCUACUUGGAUCUGGGGGCUACAGAGGUGCUGGCUGUCAGGGUAAAUUCUGUGGCCGAAGGAGGAAGUGAGCCACCAACAGACAUGAAGUGACCUCAUCAAUACAACAGUGGUGCUAUUGCAUGAUCCCAAACUGUAAAUGUCUUAUCUGCCAUGGAAGCUAAAGCUUCAACACAUUCCAAGUGUUACAUUUUUAUUUGCUUAGAUGUUGUACAAGGCUUACUGAGUAAGAAAAAUGGUUCUCAACCUGUUAGAAUCCUGAUUCCUGAAAGCAAGAUGCUGCAGACUGCUAUGCAGAUUGGAGGAUUUGUCACUGUCACAUUGAUUUUUUGGGGGGAUAAUUUGCAAAUUUGGCUUUGGUCAGAUAUAAAGUAUUCACAGUUUCUCAAGAAAAAACACAAAUUAGAGUCUGAAUUUCAAGAAUUAAGUUUCAAGAGUGACAAUAGGCUUGUUUAAGAUGGGACAAACUUGCGCUGAAUUGAUCAACACAGAUUGCUGCAUAAUGGAUGCUAGUUAUAUUUCCAUAUUGAUUCCAACUUGUUUUGAUGUCAGAAUGACACAGGCAAUAACAGCAUCAUGAGAUCAUGACAGAAAACAUCUGGCUUUCACCUGCUCCAUUAGCUGAUUGGUUCUAAUGUCGAGUCUACAAUAUGAAAUUUGAUAAUGAUAAGUUACAAGAGCGUUCAUGUAAAAAUGGAGGCUGAACCAAGAACAGAGGUUACAGAUGCCCUGUCAUAAUUAAAACUAUUUAAUGAAUCAACUAGUUUCUGUAACUUCCUGCUUUGACUGAAAGCUGCUGGAAACUGUCUUGACUGCUGACUUUUAACACUACCCCGUGCUGUUGCUAUCUGUUCCUGACUUCUGUUAGAACCGCAGUUGAUCUCAAAUGAGUCUAUUAUUCCAUCAGCAACACAACAACCAGCAAACUGGACACAAUGGAAUUCUUCAAGCUCUAGUUCUAAUUUGUUAACAUUUCUUAUAGUCCUAAUAUUCCCCAAUGAAUCACUUUGUAAGUCUCUGGGGAUCUUGACUACCAGGCUGAGAACCACUAAAAUGAAGGAUCUGUAUUUCUUUUUAUCAGUGAGGCCAACCUGCUCUAUACUACAGUUAUUGUUUUCUAUUGCUGCGUUGAAUAUCAUUUGUGUUCCAAUGCAAGUAUCACCAUGAAACCUCUGGGUUGAGACUGAUACCAAGGACUCCCUCAGGGCAGCUCCUUCAGACCUGUCUGCAUGCUGACACAAGGUUUAUGAAAAACGUCUCCAAGGCAACAUUUUUGUCCAGUUAGACUGGGUCGUUCUUUUGUCUACAGAUUUUAAAAUGUGCUAAUUCACUGUUUUUAGCUUGUACAUCAGUAGACGCUCUUGUGUAAUCUAUCAGCAAUGUGUAAUGACCAAGAAACAGAUGGCUGCUGUUCUGUGGAAUGAUGAACAAAAGAGACACUCAGUGGAGUCUUCUGUGGUUUGGUGUUUUGACUGGUCAUUAUCUCAUCCUUAAAAAGCAGCCUCUGUUCAUGUCAACUGUACUCAGGCCUCAGUAGUAUCAACCGUGGAGGCCUAAAAGUAUUUUGCUAACACUGGUGAGAUUCUUCCACUCUGUUCACAACAUUAAAGACACUGUUUUAUAGCUACGUAACACUAAGUGGUAAUAGUGUAAAGUUUUGGUUAACCUCCAUUUUGCUUUCAUUGUUAGAAGGAGAUAUUUGUUAUGAUAUAAUGAUGUGGCUUAGUUUUAGCUUUUACAUUUGCUGUUGAGGAAAGCAUUCAAGCUAAAUGUGAGGUAAUAUGACAAGAAUACAUGAGGAGUACUGAUUACUGUUUUUUUUUUUCUUUUGAUGUACCUCCUUUAACACUGUUGAAAAUUUGUUCACGUUUACCAGACUUUUUAAAUUAUGCUGGAUAAUAGGGAUCUAUUUAGUCUUAUUUUACAAAUUCAAGAGCAUUAAUACAGUAUUAAAUAUUUCAGCUAGUUAUUUUGUGUGUGAGUGUUUCAACAGUUAUUAAACGUGUGUACUACUAUGAUGAUAGAAGUGCUUUGUUUUCUACAUUGUCCUUGAAUGUGUGUUGAAUCACAAUGUAGUCUGUGAGGUCAUUAGGAUAAAAAAGUAUAACUGAAUCUUAUCUUGCAUUUGAGCUUAUGUUUGUGUUUAUCAUGCGGCUCAACAUGUGUUUUUAAUGUAUUUUUUAUGUGGCCUAUGAAGAAAAUAAUGCACUUUUGUACACUUUCUGACUAUGCUCUCUGAAGUAAAGAGAUGACCAAUGACAGUUGUUUCUGGGUAUUGUUAUUUUAGAGCUGGUAGACUUAUUUACAAUGUUACACAUCAAAUAUGAAACUGUAAACGCAGUAUUUGGCACAAGGCGAGAGGCUGAAGCUGCACAUUGAGAGGACGAUGUUGGUCUUAACAUGCUUGUCUGCGGUGGCUUCAAAAUAACCACAAGUUAGGCUGUAAAGAGAAAAAGGAAACAACAAACUGCUGCUUGUGCAGUGUUACAAAGUUAAAACAGCA
ensembl:lncRNA